CACAGCAGCCAUAUCACCCUGCAACUCACAACUGGUAACCCACUGAAGCUCAACAGGUGUGAGCCUGGUCAGCACCUGGAUGGGAGACCUCCUGGGAAAAACUAAGGUUGCUGCUGGAA
rnacentral:rRNA from 1 species